UGUUACUAUUACUCAGACACCAUCAUUUUUUCAUCAAAGAAGAAAAAGAAAAGCAUCACUGUGUAUCAUGGCUAAGAUCAGUUUGCUCCUUGGCUUCUUUUUGUUUGUCUUGAUUGUCAUGCCAGCUUCUUUAUCCAGUAGAUUGAUACUGGAUGAGGACCAAGAAGUAGUAGAUACAUGCCCAAAAGUUAAGUGUGUAAGUGUUUGCCUCAAUCCACCACCAAAAGUCUGCCCACAAAAUAAAUGCAGAUUUGGUUCUUACAUGCCGUGUUGUAGAUGUCCAGAAUGCUGUCCUCCUCCUGCUUAAAAUGCCCACUGGAUCCUGGUCGUACCGCACAUCAUAUAAUCUUUCUUGCAAAUAUAUGUAUGUAACUACGUAUUGUAUUGUGUUCUCUCCUUUUAAUCUGAUGUAAGUGUACAAUCCAGUGUUGGAUGUAAUAAUAAAAUGUAUGCGGUUACAGAGAUG